rnacentral:rRNA from 1 species
UUUAUUAGUAUUUUUAAGAACUUAAUUUUUAAAGGACUGUAAAGGUUUUAAUUUUAAAUUAUAUAAGAAUUAUUUAGUACCUUUUGUAUCAGGGUUAAUUUAAUUAUUUAAUUAUUUUUGUAUCCCGAACUGAAUUGAUCUAAUUAUAAAUGGUUUUAUUUGUUGCAAAAAAUUUAUUAAUUUGUUUUAGUAGUAAAAAGUUACUCGUUUUUCAUUAUAUCUGGUUAUUGAGGAUAAAAUUAAAUUUUAGAUUUUUUUUUAAAAAAAAUUUGUUUAAUUAAAUCUUAUAUUAUCGAGGAUAAUCUCAAUAAAUUUUUAAAAUUUAAAUUUUCUUUGUCUUUUAUAUCUUUAAAAUUUUGUAUUUAGUUUUUAAUAAAUUAUUUUUUUAUAAUAUUAUUUUAUUAUAUUUAUAAUUUCACUUAAUUUUAAAAUUUAAUUUAAUUUUUUUUUAAUAAUGAUUAAAUUAGUAAAAUUUUUAUAUAAUUUUUAAAUAACUUGACAAAUAUUUAUUUCAACUGUUUAUCAAAAACAUUUCUUUUAGAUUUAUUUUAAAAGUAAAUUCUGCCCUAUGAUGAUUUAAAUGGCUGCAGUAAUUUGACUGUACAAAGGUAGCAUAAUAAUUAGUCUUUUGAUUGAAGACUAGAAUGAAGGAGUAAAUGAAAUUAAUUUUUUCUUAUAAUUAUUUUUUAAAUUUAUUUCA